CUAAACUGUUCUCCCUAGAGGUCCAGUAAGAAUCAUCUCUUAUUGAUCCAGUGUUACUACAGGAGGAAACCUAAACUAAACAAACUUUAUUUAUACAUGAUAGCUCUAUCAGUUCUAAACUGUUCCCUUUAGAGGUCCAGUAAGAAUCAUCUCUUAUUGAUCCAGUGUUACUACAGGAGGAAACCUAAACUAAGAGAAAUUUGAGAAUAUUGCACAGUCCACACACAACGGUGUAGUGGACUGGAACACAGGCUAACCUAAACUAAACUAACUUUAUUUAUACUGGAUAGCUCUAUCGGUUCUA